UACGUAGGGUGCAAGCGUUAUCCGGAAUUAUUGGGCGUAAAGAGCUCGUAGGCGGUUUGUCGCGUCUGCUGUGAAAACUGGGGGCUCAACCCCCAGCCUGCAGUGGGUACGGGCAGACUAGAGUGCGGUAGGGGAGAUUGGAAUUCCUGGUGUAGCGGUGAAAUGCGCAGAUAUCAGGAGGAACACCGGUGGCGAAGGCGGGUCUCUGGGCAGUAACUGACGCUGAGGCGCGAAAGCGUGGGGGAGCAAACGGG
rnacentral:rRNA from 1 species